rnacentral:rRNA from 1 species
AUUGAACGCUGGCGGCAGGCCUAACACAUGCAAGUCGAACGAGUGGCGGACGGGUUAGUAAUGUCUGGGAAACUGCCCGAUGGAGGGGUAUAACUACUGGCAACGGUAGCUAAUACCGCAUACCAUCGGAUGUGCCCAGAUGGGAUUAGCUAGUAGGUGGGGUAACGGCUCACCUGGGCGCCGAUCCCUAGCUGGUCUGAGGAGAUGACCAGCCACACUGGAAAUGGAACACGGUCCAAACUCCAACGGGAUGCAGCAGUGGGGAAUAUUGGACAAUGGGCGCAAGCCUGAUGCAGCCAUGCCGGGUGUAUGAAGGAGGCCUUCGGGUUGUAAAGUACUUUCAGCGAGGAGGCGUUACUCGCAGAAGAAGCACCGGCUAACUCCGUGCCAGCAGCCGCGGUAAUAC